rnacentral:snoRNA from 1 species
AGACCAUGGUGAAGACACUUCCUAAACAGUUCCUUAAAUCUCUCCUGUGACUCAUAUAAGGUUUCAUUGUCAAAUUGAAAAAAAGUUGUUAUGUCAUUCCUUAAUUU